rnacentral:tRNA from 1 species
GCGGGGGUUGCCGAGCCUGGUCAAACGGGACUGACCAAAGGCGCUGGACUUAAGAUCCAGUCCCGUAGGGGUUCGUGGGUUCAAAUCCCACCCCCCGCA